rnacentral:pre_miRNA from 1 species
AACUGCGGUUCGGCCAUCGGAACAGGGUAGGGCGGCCGGACCCGGCCGCCCUACCCUGUUUUCCCGCCCGGCCGUGCCCGCCUA